GAUGAACGCUGGCGGCGUGCCUAACACAUGCAAGUCGAACGAAGCAAUUUAACGGAAGUUUUCGGAUGGAAGAUGAAUUGACAGAGUGGCGGACGGGUGAGUAACGCGUGGGUAACCUGCCUUGUACUGGGGGAAAACAGUUAGAAAUCACUGCUAAUACUGCAUGAGCGCACAGUAUCGCAUGAUAACGUGUGAAAAACUCAGAUGGUACAAGAUGGACCCGCGCCUGAUUACCUAGUUGGUAAGGUAACGGAUUACCAAGGCGACGAUGAGUAGCCGAACUGAGAGGGUGACCGGCCACAUUGGGACUGAGACACGGCCCAAACUCCUACGGGAGGCAGCAGGGGGGAAUAUUGCACAAUGGGCGAAAGCCUGAUGCAGCGACGCCGCGUGAGUGAAGAAGUAUUUCGGUAUGUAAAGCUCUAUCAGCAGGGAAGAAAAUGACGGUACCUGACUAAGAAGCCCCGGCUAACUACGUGCCAGCCGCCGCAGUAA
rnacentral:rRNA from 1 species